ACUACUACUGUCAAAUUAUGGCAUUUGUGUUGUGGCAGCACUGCCAAUAUCCGGCCACCAUCUUUUUGCUUUUGGUUUCUCACGAUGCCACCAAAGAAGGACGCGAAAUCGUCGGCU